GGAAACGAGAAGUAGCUUGCUACUUCGGCGUCGAGCGGCGGACGGGUGAGUAAUGCCUAGGAAGUUGCCCAGUAGAGGGGGAUAACCAUUGGAAACGAUGGCUAAUACCGCAUAAUCUCUUUGGAGCAAAGCAGGGGACCUUCGGGCCUUGUGCUAUUGGAUACGCCUAGGUGGGAUUAGCUAGUUGGUGAGGUAAUGGCUCACCAAGGCAACGAUCCCUAGCUGGUCUGAGAGGAUGAUCAGCCACACUGGAACUGAGACACGGUCCAGACUCCUACGGGAGGCAGCAGUGGGGAAUAUUGCACAAUGGGCGAAAGCCUGAUGCAGCCAUGCCGCGUGUAUGAAGAAGGCCUUCGGGUUGUAAAGUACUUUCAGUCGUGAGGAAGGGGGUAAGCUUAAUACGCUUAUCUCUUGACGUUAGCGACAGAAGAAGCACCGGCUAACUCCGUGCCAGCAGCCGCGGUAAUACGGAGGGUGCGAGCGUUAAUCGGAAUUACUGGGCGUAAAGCGCAUGCAGGUGGUUCAAUAAGUCAGAUGUGAAAGCCCGGGGCUCAACCUCGGAACUGCAUUUGAAACUGUUGGACUAGAGUACUGUAGAGGGGGGUAGAAUUUCAGGUGUAGCGGUGAAAUGCGUAGAGAUCUGAAGGAAUACCAGUGGCGAAGGCGGCCCCCUGGACAGAUACUGACACUCAGAUGCGAAAGCGUGGGGAGCAAA
rnacentral:rRNA from 1 species